rnacentral:rRNA from 1 species
GACAGAGGCCACAAGCGUUAGGCGGAAUCACUGGGCUUAAAGCGUGUGUAGGCGGAUCGUUAAGUGCCUUGUGAAAUCCCACGGCUCACCCGUGGAACUGCUGGGCAUACUGGCGAUCUUGAGCCAUCUAGGGGCGACUGGAACAGACGGUGGAGCGGUGAAAUGCGUAGAUAUCGUUUGGAACGCCAAUGGUGAAAACAGGUUGCUGGGAGUGUGCUGACGCUGAGACACGAAAGCCAGGGGAGCAAACGGG